rnacentral:rRNA from 1 species
UACGAAGGGGGCUAGCGUUGUUCGGAAUUACUGGACGUAAAGCGCGCGCAGGUGGUCUUUCAAGUCAGUGGUGAAAGCCCGGAGCUCAACUCCGGAAAUGCCAUUGAAACUGUAAGACUUGAGGAUGAGAGAGGUGAGUGGAAUUCCCAGUGUAGAGGUGAAAUUCGUAGAUAUUGGGAAGAACACCGGUGGCGAAGGCGGCUCACUGGCUCAUAUCUGACGCUCAGGCGCGACAGCGUGGGGAUCAAACAGG